rnacentral:rRNA from 1 species
GACGAACGCUGGCGGCGUGCUUAACACAUGCCAGUCGAACGGAAAGGCCCUGCUUUUGUGGGGUGCUCGAGUGGCGAACGGGUGAGUAACACGUGAGUAACCUGCCCUUGACUUUGGGAUAACUUCAGGAAACUGGGGCUAAUACCGGAUAGGAGCUCCUGCUGCAUGGUGGGGGUUGGAAAGUUUCGGCGGUUGGGGAUGGACUCGCGGCUUAUCAGCUUGUUGGUGGGGUAGUGGCUUACCAAGGCUUUGACGGGUAGCCGGGCUGAGAGGGUGACCGGCCACAUUGGGACUGAGAUACGGCCCAGACUCCUACGGGAGGCAGCAGUGGGGAAUAUUGCACAAUGGGCGGAAGCCUGAUGCAGCAACGCCGCGUGCGGGAUGACGGCCUUCGGGUUGUAAACCGCUUUCGCCUGUGACGAAGCGUGAGUGACGGUAAUGGGUAAAGAAGCACCGGCUAACUACGUG